ACCUGGGUGGCUCAGUCAGUUAAGCAUCUGACUUCGGCUCAGGUCAUGAUCUCGUGGUUUGUGAGUUCAAGCCCCACGUCAGGUU
rnacentral:tRNA from 1 species